rnacentral:lncRNA from 1 species
CUGUGGAGUUUGCCAGUUUGUUUAAGAUUAUAUUUUAGAAACUACUUGAUAAGUACUUAAGAAUAUUUUGAGCAAAUCGAUCAUCAAAUUUUCAUAUGAAAUAUAAACUUGGGUAAUUCGAUGCUCUCUUAUCUUAGAAUUUGGGGUGUCGGACUUAUGUGAAACGUUUACAAAUCGGCUAGCUUGGAUCUUGAUCUGAUAAAUAUUAUAUUAGAGAUAUUUCUUCUACCUUCCUGAUGGAUAUGAAAUGUUCAUGAAUCUUAAGGCAUUCUUUUUAGAAAAAAAAUUUCUUGAUGAAGAAACUGAUGCCGUUAAGAGCAAGCUUGGUAAAGCUUGAUAAGUA